rnacentral:rRNA from 1 species
GUCCAGACUCCUACGGGAGGCAGCAGUGGGGAAUAUUGCACAAUGGGGGAAACCCUGAUGCAGCAACGCCGCGUGAGUGAAGAAGUAUUUCGGUAUGUAAAGCUCUAUCAGCAGGGAAGAAGAUGACGGUACCUGAUUAAGAAGCCCCGGCUAACUACGUGCCAGCAGCCGCGGUAAUACGUAGGGGGCAAGCGUUAUCCGGAUUUACUGGGUGUAAAGGGAGCGCAGACGGCAGUGCAAGUCCGGAGUGAAAGCCCGGGGCUCAACCCUGGGACUGCUCUGGAAACUGUAAAGCUGGAGUGCGGGAGGGGCAGGCGGAAUUCCUGGUGUAGCGGUGAAAUGCGUAGAUAUCAGGAGGAACACCGGCGGCGAAGGCGGCCUGCUGGACCGUAACUGACGUUGAGGCUCGAAAGCGUGGGGAGCAAACAGGAUUAGAUACCCCAGUAC